rnacentral:rRNA from 1 species
AGAGUUUGAUCCUGGCUCAGAUUGAACGCUGGCGGCAUGCCUUACACAUGCAAGUCGAACGGCAGCACGGGAGCUUGCUCCUGGUGGCGAGUGGCGAACGGGUGAGUAAAGCAUCGGAACGUGCCCUGAAGUGGGGGAUAACGUAGCGAAAGUUACGCUAAUGCCGCAUAUUCUGUGAGCAGGAAAGCAGGGGUUCUUCGGACCUUGUGCUUUAGGAGCGGCCGAUGUCGGAUUAGCUAGUUGGUGAGGUAAAGGCUCACCAAGGCGACGAUCCGUAGCGGGUCUGAGAGGAUGAUCCGCCACACUGGGACUGAGACACGGCCCAGACUCCUACGGGAGGCAGCAGUGGGGAAUUUUGGACAAUGGGCGCAAGCCUGAUCCAGCCAUGCCGCGUGAGUGAAGAAGGCCUUCGGGUUGUAAAGCUCUUUCGGCGGGGAAGAAAUUGCGCUUUCUAAUACAGGGGGUUGAUGACGGUACCCGCAUAAGAAGCACCGGCUAACUACGUGCCAGCAGCCGCGGUAAUACGUAGGGUGCGAGCGUUAAUCGGAAUUACUGGGCGUAAAGCGUGCGCAGGCGGUUGUGUAAGACAGAUGUGAAAUCCCCGGGCUCAACCUGGGAACUGCAUUUGUGACUGUAUAGCUAGAGUACGGCAGAGGGGGAUGGAAUUCCGCGUGUAGCAGUGAAAUGCGUAGAUAUGCGGAGGAACACCGAUGGCGAAGGCAGCUUUCUGGACCGAUAUUGACGCUGAGGCGCGAAGGCGUGGGUAGCAAACGGGAUUAGAUACCCUGGUAGUCG